CUUACACUUUGUCAUUUAGUCACAUGACUCAAUGUGGGGUGCUGGUUCAGGAUAAAUAGGGAAGAAUCUCUUCCUGUCUCAGAAAAGAUUUGGCUCGACUCAUUUCUGAAGACUGGUGUAAAGAAGUGCAACUGAUAUGGCUUAUCAUAUGAAGGGACUCUUCCUGAUCUGCCUGCUUUCAAUUUCUACUACAAGCACAGAGGCUCAGAAUAUUAAAAAUCUUGCUUCCAUUGUAAAUUUCUUGAACUCAAAUUACCAGGUACUGCAGUAUGCAGCAGCCAUCAAUGUCCCACAGGAACAGUGUCAGGAGAAUUUCGAACCCUCGACUAUCAACUUCUUAAAAGAUGACAAAGGAAAUAAUGUAAAAAAUACUAUAAGAGGUGAUACAAGACCAGUCUACGAAGGCACAGAGCUCAUCGCUGCAGGAGUCCAGAAAAAACCUAAUAAAGCACAUUCAGAGUUUCUGCUUCUAGACCCUGUAAAUAAUUCACAUUUGACAGAUUUACUGAAUAAGAGAAAGGAUGGAUGUGUGGUGUUUUACACCCUAAACUCUCCCUGUAUGAAGACCUGUCUCACUGGAGAGCACCAGAUUAUACCAAGUGUAGAUGAACUAAAAAACUAUCAGGGAAUAAAAGCCUUUGCUUUCCAAAAUAUCUGGAAAUAUGAUAAAGGCAAACCAGAGGAGCUGAAAGUAAAACUGAAGACUAUUGCUGAUCGUGUCCCACUCUACCGCUGCCAAAUCAAUAAACCAUGCAUCCUUUGUGGAGAGCCAAAUUCAAAUGUUGAAAUAAACAAAGCAUGUUUGUCUGGUUGAAAAAAAAAACACUGGUCAUGGUGCUUGAUUGGUUAAUUUUCAUGAGCUUAUAAGAUGCUUCAGAUGCUUUUUCAAAGACUCAUUAAAAAUGAUCUAAUUUCA